rnacentral:misc_RNA from 1 species
CACGUGCGGCCAUGCGGGUGUGGCGUCUUUUUUAAAGCAAAUAACAAUAGAAUAUUAGUUAGCCGUUUAACAGAUAAUAAUAUACCUAAUGAUACUAUAUUAUAGACGGGUUUAAAAUAAUACUACGAAUUUAAUCUUCGUUCGGACGCACGGUCUUCGACCUCGAUUGUUUGUAAUAUGUGGAAAUCCACUACUCUACUACAGUAGUAGAGUAGUGGAUUUCCACAGUAUUACAGUAACUGCCUUCAUUAGUGCCUUCGUCAUUGAUAUCUGAUAAGCUUAUAGGUAGGUACCUAGUAUUUACACCGUGCACCGAAUGGCGAAUACGAAAUCUAUAUCUAUAGUUCAAAAUGUUUGAACUGCGGAAGUUCAGAGGCCAAACUAUAUAACUGUAUAAGUAGUACACUACUUAACAGUACAUUUGGAUUCAUUUACUGUUCUGUCUGUUGAUGAGGUACCUACUACCUACCCACCCAUCCAAACAAAAUAUAGCACGACUUUAGAUAGAGUUAUUGGAAUAAUAUACUUAUUUUAAUUUUAAAUGGCUCAAUUAGAUAAAGUUGUGGCAGCAUAUCGCGUGACCGCACAAUAUCCAGAAGUAAUAUCUGCUAAAAUACUUAAUUGCUCGAAAGAUUCUGUUAGUGUUCAUUCUGUUUGGAUGCAAAAAGUUUUGGAAAGGCAAGCAGUGAUCAAGUUCCGGCAAACUGUCUUUUCAGAUUAUAAGACGUAUACCUUAACGUCACCGCCGACUGAUACAACAAAUGAGUUGAUGAGCGCGCACUCAAAAUCAACCAAGUAUUUUUGUGUGGUUAGAGAAAUUGAAUCUGGAAAGGAUAUCAAACAGUACUUAGAAGUAUGGGCAGAUUGUUCUCUGGUAAAAAAUUAUGAUUUGAGUGCUUUAGAUGUGCAUGGAAAAAUUUAUGCUGAUGCUGAAUUUGGAACUUUGGAGUGGUCUCCUGAUGAGACAAAAAUUGUUUAUAUUGCUGAGAAAAAAGUCUCAAAGUCAGAACCAUUUUAUAAACAAAAACCUAAAGCGUCGGCUGAUAAAGACGCUGUAGAUAAUAGUGACAUUGUGCCGGGUAAAGAAUAUGAUUGGAGCCAAGAUUGGGGUGAACAGUUGGUAGGAAAGAUUACUCCAGUUUUGGUGGUAUGUGAUAUAAAAACAGAUACUAUAGAUGUUCUUUCAAAUAUUCCAAAUGAUGUUAAUCCUGCUGCUGCAACAUGGACACCUGAUGGAAAAGGAGUCGUGGCAAUUGGACAUACAAUCACAUCUCGUAAAUUAGGUCUAAUUUACUGUGCCAAUAGUCCUAGCAUUGUAUUUUCUCUCGCAUUAGAUGGCCAAUAUGAUGUGUUGAGUUCCAAUUCAGAACAAUUGUGUGUGAGGUAUCCCAGGUUUAAUUUGAAUGGCAAUAAGCUGGUAUGGUUAGAACGCUUAGCAGAGGACCACAUAGUUCAUGCUUUAAACUUAUCUCUUGUAAUUGGUCUACAAAAGAGAUUUCUACGGUUGUUGAUUUUGACAAUCAAAUACUUCACAAUACUAGUGAUUAUAAUGAAGAAUUACCAUUCUAUGGACUAUAUGAUCUGGCAAUACCAAGAAAUUGUUGGCUGAAUGAUGAUAAAACCCUUGUAUUGAGCACUCCUCAAGGAGGCUCGAUACAUACAUUUGCUAUUGACACUGAAUCUAAAGAUAUCCAUUAUCUUCCAAUCACAAAACCAUUUCAUGAAUGUGUUAGUGUAUUAGAUGUUUGCAAUGAUGUUUUAGUUUGUUAUAAAUCAUCACUUAAUAAGCCUGGCCAAUUAUUUGCCAUCAAAAUGUAUU